rnacentral:misc_RNA from 1 species
CACCAGGAACAUAUUUGAUUUGAAUAGGAAAGCUUCUCCCCAACACAUAAAAGGUUCUACAACCAAAGAAGUAUUCUGAUAAUUUGCUGGCAUCAACUGUUGCAGACAUUAUAAUAAGCCUUAGGUCACCCCUCUCAAUAAGCAAUUCUUUAAUCAAGGCCAACAGAAGAUCAGUAUUCAAGCUUCUUUCAUGGGCCUCGUCUAUAAUAAUGCAUGAAACUCCAGACAGAGUCCUAUCUUUCAUAAGGUGCUGCAAUAGACAGUGAUCAGUCAUAUAUAUUACCUUUGAAUUAAGACACUGUGCAGAUGAAUAUGUUGGAUAGCAGACAAUUGAAUUAUCCUCAUAACAUCCAAUGCUUUCUUCACCAACCCUUUUUGCCAGGUAAAUUGCAGCAAUUUUGCGGGGCUGAGUACACAAAAUUGAACCACUGGAAGCAACACCAGAAUCAGC